AUUCUGAUGAUCUCCAGGUUGAAUCACAGCACUUAAAUGAGUCAGUGACAAUCAGAUCACUUAGGAAGCCUGAUCUCCAUGUCACCAACACAAAAAUUGGUAGAGUUCUGGAUCAUGAGUGUUGAUUUCACCAAUGCUAUUCGCCCAUGAUGUUGCUCCAAAAGACUACAUGCUGAUGAGAGAUACACCGUCUAUUCUCUACAUAGAAAUAUAGUACAAGUGGUGCAGUGCAAUAAGUGCAAAUUGUAUACUCGCUUCCCGAAUUCUAUUGAUCCCUAUUCUUUCUAUCAAUAGCACUAAUCUACAUAACAAGGUUACACUAUUUGUGCCCUUAUAUCUUUGCUAUUGAUACAGAUACUUGCUUUGUACUAAAAUCGGCUUCUUUUGCAAUGGAAGCUUUUUGUUCUAAUCGUGCUCUUUCUUGUAAAAAUGUGUAUAAUUUAUUUUUAGAUUAUGCUUUCUUGUGAAUGCUGCUUGUUUGGUGCUUUGUGCCUGUGAUAUUGCUGCAGACAGGUUUUUCACUGAACCUGUGCGUACAUGUUCUUGUGCAUAUGACCAUAAACUUCACUUUUUCAGAAUCAGAAUCAGAUUCAAUAUCACUGGCGUAUGUAGUGAAAUUUGUUGUCUUUGCAGCAGCAAUACAAAGUAAUUUGUAAUAAUAGAAAAAAAUGUGAAUUACAGUAAAUGUAUAUAUACAUAUAUACUGUAUAUAUAAUAGUUCAAUUAAAUAAAUAAUGCAAAAAUAGAACUAAAAAGGCAGUCAAGUAGUGUUCAUGGUUACAAUAUCCAUUCAGAAAUUGGAUGGCAGAGGGGAAGAAACUGUUUCUGAAUCAUUGAAUGUAUGCCUUUAGGCUUCUGUACCUCUUUCCUGAUGGUAGCAACGAGAACAGGGUAUGACCUGGGUGAUGGGAGUCCUUAAUGUUGGAUGGCACCUUUUUGAGUCAUUGCUCCUUGAAGAUGUCCUAGAUACUAUGGAGACUAGGGCCCAUGAUGGAUCUGACUAAAUUUACAUCUCGCUGUAGCUUAUAUUGAUCCUGUGCAGUGCCCUCCCCCACCCCACAUACCAGACAGUGAUGCAGCCAGUUAGAAUGCUCUCCAGGGUACAUCUGUAGAAAUUUGCAAAUGUCUUGGUGAUAUACCAAAUCUCCUCAAACUCCUCAUGUAGCCGCUGCCAUGUCUUCUUUGUAGCUGGGUCCAAGUUAGAUCCUAAGAGAUAUUGACGCCCAGGAACUUUUUCAUUUGAUCUCUUGAAAAAAAUCAACCAAGGUAUAGAAUAAUAUUUAUGUAACCUGAUGUACCCAGAAACCUGAAUUAAUAACAUGACUGGUCAGCCCAAAGCAACCAGCACUUUUGGAGAAUUUAAAAUCCAUUUGGGUGAAUAACCUAGAAUAAAACAGUGCCAUCAAAGGUGGUGAUCAUGUAAGUAGCCCCCAGCUAUUUGUGUUAAGGCAUUUGCUUUACUAAGACUUUUUAAGGAAAGAAUUUACUACCUUCACCUAGUCAGGUCUUUAUUUUACUGCAUGGGAAUGUAGUUAUCUCUUACAAGCUCUAAUUGGCCUUAAACUCUGACAAUAAGCAUUCAAUGCUGUAAUUCCUGCAUCCUCUGAAUGAAUAAAGAGAACUAUUAUGCCUACAACUUCCCUGAAUUAUUUGGAACAAUGGAUUGUCUAGCGUUUACUAAUCAGUAAAUAGUAAAGCGUCUAUUAUGUCUAGUGAUGUAUACCACAUAAAAAGUGCUGGAAGUUCUCAGCAGGUCAGGCAGCAUCUAUGGAGGGAAAUGAACAGUCGUAAUUUUGGGCCAAGACUCUUCAUCAUGACAGGAAGCGAAGAGGGCAUCUUUACAACAUAGGCAGCAACCACCUAGAUGUCAGGGUGGUCAGCCAUUUUACUUGCACUUCCCAUCCCUACACUGACAUGUCUGUCCUCAGUCCCCCCAAUACCAGGCUGAGGCUAGAUGCAGAUUGGAGG